rnacentral:rRNA from 1 species
UACGGAGGGUGCGAGCGUUGUCCGGAAUCACUGGGCGUAAAGGGCGCGUAGGUGGCGGUCCAAGUCAACGGUGAAAGCUCGGGGCUCAACCCCGAGUCGGCCGUCGAUACUGGGUUGCUUGAGCACUGUAGAGGCAGAUGGAAUUCCGGGUGUAGCGGUGGAAUGCGUAGAGAUCCGGAAGAACACCGGUGGCGAAGGCGGUCUGCUGGGCAGUAGCUGACACUGAGGCGCGACAGCGUGGGGAGCAAACAGG